AUCCUUGGAACUUGGGAGUGCCUUCGGGAGCGCAGAGACAGGUGGUGCAUGGCUGUCGUCAGCUCGUGUCGUGAGAUGUUGGGUUAAGUCCCGCAACGAGCGCAACCCACGUCUUUAGUUGCCAGCAUUCAGUUGGGCACUCUAGAGAGACCGCCGGUGAUAAACCGGAGGAAGGUGUGGAUGACGUCAAGUCAUCAUGCCCCUUACAUCCUGGGCUACACACGUACUACAAUGCUACGGACAAAGGGCAGCAAACUCGCGAGAGCUAGCAAAUCCCAUAAACCGUGGCUCAGUUCAGAUCGUAGGCUGCAACUCGCCUACGUGAAGGAGGAAUCGCUAGUAAUCGCAGGUCAGCAUACUGCGGUGAAUACGUUCCCGGGUCUU
rnacentral:rRNA from 1 species